rnacentral:rRNA from 1 species
GACGAACGCUGGCGGCGUGCCUAAUACAUGCAAGUCGAACGCAUUUUCUUUCACCGUAGCUUGCUACACCGAAAGAAAAUGAGUGGCGAACGGGCGAGUAACACGUGGGUAACCUGCCCAUCAGCGGGGGAUAACACUUGGAAACAGGUGCUAAUACCGCAUAAUUCCAUUUACCGCAUGGUAAAUGGAUGAAAGGCGCUUUUGCGUCACUGAUGGAUGGACCCGCGGUGCAUUAGCUAGUUGGUGGGGUAACGGCCUACCAAGGCUGCGAUGCAUAGCCGACCUGAGAGGGUGAUCGGCCACACUGGGACUGAGACACGGCCCAGACUCCUACGGGAGGCAGCAGUAGGGAAUCUUCGGCAAUGGACGCAAGUCUGACCGAGCAACGCCGCGUGAGUGAAGAAGGUUUUCGGAUCGUAAAACCCUGUUGUUAGAGAAGAACAAGGAUGAGAGUGGAAAGUUCAUCCCUUGACGGUAUCUAACCAGAAAGCCACGGCUAACUACGUG